rnacentral:rRNA from 1 species
GGAGUAUGGGCCGUUCUCAGUCCCAUUGUGGCCGUUCAACCUCUCAGUCCGGCUACGCAUCAUCGCCUUGGUGGGCUGUUAUCUCACCAACUAGCUAAUGCGCCGCAGGCCCCUCUCUAAGUGACAUAAUAAUCUUUAAACAUUUAGGGAUGCCCCUUAUAAUGUCCUAUCCAGUAUUAUCCGUCGUUUCCAACGGUUAUCCUCGUCUUAAAGACAGGUUACCUACGUGUUACUCACCCGUUCGCCAUGGUUUGUAUUGCUACUACCAUUCGACUUGCAUGUAUUAGGCACGCCGCCAGCGUUAAUC